AAGUCGUAACAAGGUUUCCGUAGGUGAACCUGCGGAAGGAUCAUUAACACGUAUCCAAACGUUAAAACCCCCCCCGUGAACCUUCAUCCUGCUCUUGUAACCCGCGUAGUUCGCAAUCUCUGAUAAAUCAUAGCCCGGAAAGUUGUAGUGAUUCAGAGACCUCUGGCUACGUGCGAACAGAAAGUGUCAUUGAUUGUGCAAGGAUAGCGCUUCUAUGAUUCCUGUAGACCGUACACUCGGGCAGGAGCUUUGCCAAAGGGUCCCCAUGCCCCCUAAUAACCCCACAGUUUAAUGUGAAGCUCAAUGUAAUACAUUGGGUAAAAAAACCGAACAACUGUUAACAAUGGAUAUCUUGGUUCUC
rnacentral:misc_RNA from 1 species